GAGGGUAUAGCUCAAGUGGUAGAGCAUAUGCUUAGCAUGCAUAAGGUCCUGGGUUCAAUCCCCAGUACCUCCU
rnacentral:tRNA from 1 species